rnacentral:rRNA from 1 species
GACGAACGCUGGCGGCGUGCUUAGCACAUGCAAGUCGAACGGAAAGGCCCUGCUUUUGUGGGGUGCUCGAGUGGCGAACGGGUGAGUAACACGUGAGUAACCUGCCCUUGACUUUGGGAUAACUUCAGGAAACUGGGGCUAAUACCGGAUAGGAGCUCCUGCUGCAUGGUGGGGGUUGGAAAGUUUCGGCGGUUGGGGAUGGACUCGCGGCUUAUCAGCUUGUUGGUGGGGUAGUGGCUUACCAAGGCUUUGACGGGUAGCCGGCCUGAGAGGGUGACCGGCCACAUUGGGACUGAGAUACGGCCCAGACUCCUAUGGGAGGCAGCAGUGGGGAAUAUUGCACAAUGGGCGGAAGCCUGAUGCAGCAACGCCGCGUGCGGGAUGACGGCCUUCGGGUUGUAAACCGCUUUCGCCUGUGACGAAGCGUGAGUGACGGUAAUGGGUAAAGAAGCACCGGCUAACUACGUG